rnacentral:lncRNA from 1 species
GGCAUUUUAAUCCCUUCUGAUCUCUAAGACAAAUAUAUUUUUUCAUGUAAUUACAUAAUUACUUGGCAGACCAGAACAGAUCCCACGGAGCCACUCCAGUGUGUGCCGUGUAAAUACUGUUCUGUUCUACCCCUGGUAAUUGGCCAAUAGAUCCCCCUAGGAUGUUUUGAUUCCUUAAAUAAACACUAUGUGGGCGAAGGGGGUUGUAUUUUCUCAUUGGCAGUGAAACCAGAAAGAAGAGCUUCACAUUAGGUGCUUAUUACAUCAUUUAAGAAAGAACAAACUGCUUAUGACACUAGGGCUCCCUCUGCUGGUUUAUGGAGUUAAAAAAGCACGAGUAGUAAUAAUUUUCCUGAACUAGACCCUCUUAGGAGAAAGAAGUGUAAUUUUAGAGACCCAGUGGUGUUAAACCAAAGAAAUAAGCAACAGAGAGACUUCUAAUCUUUAUUUUUCUAAAAUUGUAAGCCACCGUCCUCACCAUCUGUCUUUAGUUAUUUUACCAUUAUGUGUGUCUAUACGGUUACUUUUUGCAAUAAAAAAGAAGCUUUAGAACAAUGGUAAUUUUUCUGAACUACAACCAAAGAAAGCUUUAUAAGUCUAUCAGCUCCACUUAAGUAGUUCCAUCUAUCCAUUAGGCAGUGGGUUAUUCAUAACAGCCUUAAGUUGCCUUUACUCCAUCUAUGGGAGUGCAAAAUAAAAGAUGUAAAGACAUGAACACCUUUUUCAAACUGACCAAUUAAACCCCUGCACAUCUCAUCUUUAUGGCACUGGUGACCAUCUUUAUAUGGUCUAGGCAAAAAGUAGCUGAAAUAGAGAGAGGAUGAGAAUCAGAGAAACAUAGGCUUAAAUCCCAGAUCUGAUGAUUAAAAAUCUGUGAGGCAUUCCUCAAAUUAUUUGUCCUCUCUGUUCUCUCUUGUUCCCAUCAGUAAUUUGGUGAUAACAUUCUCAGAGCCUUUGUGAGGGUUAAAUAAAGAAAUGUAUGUAUGUAUAGUGUCUGGCAUGUAGUAGAUGCAUAUUAAUCAUAGUUAACAUAUUCCUGAGAAAUAGAAGUUUUCUGCCCCAGUGAACUGAAUGAAUAUGGAAGAAAAGUAAC